rnacentral:rRNA from 1 species
UUCAGCGGCGGACGGGUGAGUAAUGCCUAGGAAUCUGCCUGGUAGUGGGGGACAACGUUUCGAAAGGAACGCUAAUACCGCAUACGUCCUACGGGAGAAAGCAGGGGACCUUCGGGCCUUGCGCUAUCAGAUGAGCCUAGGUCGGAUUAGCUAGUUGGUGAGGUAAUGGCUCACCAAGGCGACGAUCCGUAACUGGUCUGAGAGGAUGAUCAGUCACACUGGAACUGAGACACGGUCCAGACUCCUACGGGAGGCAGCAGUGGGGAAUAUUGGACAAUGGGCGAAAGCUGAUCCAGCCAUGCCGCGUGUGUGAAGAAGGUCUUCGGAUUGUAAAGCACUUUAAGUUGGGAGGAAGGGUUGUAGAUUAAUACUCUGCAAUUUUGACGUUACCGACAGAA